UCCUUUUGUUCAUCUGAUAAAUGUGUGAUCUUAGCCUCCUCAUCUGGCUUCACGUUUUGGACUUUCUCUGAGAGAUGAUCAAGAUUAGAAUGUGCAUCAGUGAAUUGGGUUUGGAGAUUGAUAUUCUGAUCCUCUACAAUUUGGUUUAGAUCCUCUACUCCAUGCAUCUUUUUUUCCAUCUUCGUCAGUUGGUCAUUCAAUUUAUGUUUGUCGUUGAUAAGAUUCUCCUUAUCCUUUUCCAGAAUUCGAAUCUGCUCGUGAAGUUCAUCAGUUUCUGUUCUCAGUCUCUUCACCAUAGCGCUCUGCGAUGAUACUGAAGUUUCCAAAUUGAUCACUUUGUUCACUAGCUCAUCAAUCUUCUCUGCCAUCUCUGCUACACUGAAUGAUGAAUUGGAGCUAGUUUCAAAGUUCUCUUUAAGGUUCUUUUUUAAUAAUUGCAGCUCCUGCUUCUUCCGAGUCAAAUCAUUGGCAUUUUCAUCUAACUCUGUUUCUGCUAUUAUUUUUAAAUCACUUUGGAUCCCUGGCUCUUUAGAAUUCUUCCGUUCAUAAUGGAAUUCGUCCAUGAGAGAGCCCACCUUGGCCUUGACAUCCUUUACCCUUUUGGACUCGAUUUUAGUUUCAUCAAGUGAUCUUUCCUGUUUCUUUUCUAACUGCGUCAAUGCCUCUUGGCAUGAUUGAAGAGCAGCUCCUGCUAUCAAACGCCGAGCUUCAUCAUCUUCAAUGUCAACACCUUCUCCAAGUUCUUCAUGCAGAGAGGAAACUCUCUCUUGCAAUUCCUUUAUUUGCUCCUCAGUGUCCCAGUACCUACUAAGGGAAUUCUCAUAAGAGUUCUUUGCAAAUUCUUUCACAGUUUGUAGGGCCAGAAUCUCUUUCUGCAGCUUGUCAAUCUCUUCAAGGGCAUCUUUUCUGCUCAAACCAGAUUUAGGAACUUUUGGAGUAGCAGCAGCUGCAGUGGCAGCUGCUAUCUUGGAUUGCAAUUUCUUUGUGGCUG
rnacentral:lncRNA from 1 species